AAACUUCACUCUGUGAUCCUCGAAUAUGUUUUUUGAAGAGCUCCAGAAGCACAAAGGUUGACAGUAAACCGGAGGAAGAAGAAAAGGGGAAGUUUGCGCGAAAAGGUGGAAGAGCUGAGAAGGUUGUUGAAACAGCGACUAACUGCUGCAAAUGCUGAGAUAUUUGAGUUGGUAGAAACAAACAGAUCG